ACACAUGCAAGUCGAGCGGUAACAUUUCUAGCUUGCUAGAAGAUGACGAGCGGCGGACGGGUGAGUAACACUUAGGAAUCUACCUAGUAGUGGGGGAUAGCACGGGGAAACUCGUAUUAAUACCGCAUACGACCUACGGGAGAAAGGGGGCAUCUUGAUGCUCUCGCUAUUAGAUGAGCCUAAGUCGGAUUAGCUAGAUGGUGGGGUAAAGGCCUACCAUGGCGACGAUCUGUAGCUGGUCUGAGAGGAUGAUCAGCCACACCGGAACUGAGACACGGUCCGGACUCCUACGGGAGGCAGCAGUGGGGAAUAUUGGACAAUGGGGGCAACCCUGAUCCAGCCAUGCCGCGUGUGUGAAGAAGGCCUUUUGGUUGUAAAGCACUUUAAGCAGUGAAGAAGACUCAAUGGUUAAUACCCAUUGACGAUGACAUUAGCUGCAGAAUAAGCACCGGCUAACUCUGUGCCAGCAGCCGCGGUAAUACAGAGGGUGCAAGCGUUAAUCGGAAUUACUGGGCGUAAAGCGAGCGUAGGUGGCUUGAUAAGUCAGAUGUGAAAUCCCCGGGCUUAACCUGGGAACUGCAUCUGAUACUGUUAGGCUAGAAUAGGUGAGAGGAAGGUAGAAUUCCAGGUGUAGCGGUGAAAUGCGUAGAGAUCUGGAGGAAUACCGAUGGCGAAGGCAGCCUUCUGGCAUCAUAUUGACACUGAGGUUCGAAAGCGUGGGUAGCAAACAGGAUUAGAUACCCUGGUAGUCCACGCCGUAAA
rnacentral:rRNA from 1 species